rnacentral:rRNA from 1 species
UGGGGAAUAUUGCACAAUGGGCGCAAGCCUGAUGCAGCCAUGCCGCGUGUAUGAAGAAGGCCUUCGGGUUGUAAAGUACUUUCAGUCGGGAGGAAGGUGUCAAGGUUAAUAACCUUGGCAAUUGACGUUACCGACAGAAGAAGCACCGGCUAACUCCGUGCCAGCAGCCGCGGUAAUACGGAGGGUGCAAGCGUUAAUCGGAAUUACUGGGCGUAAAGCGCACGCAGGCGGUUGAUUGAGUCAGAUGUGAAAUCCCCGGGCUUAACCCGGGAAUUGCAUCUGAUACUGGUCAGCUAGAGUCUUGUAGAGGGGGGUAGAAUUCCAUGUGGAGCGGUGAAAUGCGUAGAGAUGUGGAGGAAUACCGGUGGCGAAGGCGGCCCCCUGGACAAAGACUGACGCUCAGGUGCGAAAGCGUGGGGAGCAAACAGG